rnacentral:lncRNA from 10 species
UGCCAACUUGCAGCCUCACCCCCAGGCAUCUUUUACCCAAAGGGCUGUGCUUCUCUGCUGGGGGUUGGAGGGGCUACUGGGGUGCAUUGCUAAGUGCACGAACUGAGAAACUGGGUCUUUAGUUAUUUCCAGCACGGAGCAGCUGCCCAAGUUACCUGGGAGAUGGGAAAAUCGUGUGAAAGCUGGUUAACCCUUUGAGGAUUAGAGUAAUGGUGGAAGCAGAAAGGAGAAGGAGUUUCACUCCAGGAUGUACGUAGGACCAGCCCUCCCUGCAGUCCUGUCCUUCAAGACUCAAGUCUUGUCCACUCCAAAUCACCACUGGGAUUCCUAAGUCCAGGACAGAGCUUCAGGCAAGGAAAAGAAGAGUUGGGAAAGCCAGUUUCCAACAUUUAUCAGCCACGUGUACCUGCAAACUAUAUACCUUGGGUAAAUCAUCAAUCUCUUGAAAUGGGAAUAAAACCAUCUGCCUU